rfam:Toxocara canis scaffold1468, whole genome shotgun sequence.
ACAGCGGGUUCCGAGUGGUUAAAGAGUUUGACUCGAAAUCAAAUGGGCUGGGCCCGCAUAGGUUCGAAUCCUGUUCGCUGCG